UUUUUUAUUGUUUCUUUACCUUCUUAGUUUCUUGCACACCACUGAAUCCAUCUUCACUUUCAGCUUCUCUCUUCCAUAAUAAUUCAGCUGCAGCUGUUUCAGGAGACAGCCUUUACUGAAAAACAGGACUUUUCCUGACACCCUCUGCAGAGCUGAGAACCUCUGGUGACGUUUCCUUCAGGAUAGUGUGACAUUUAAAGCAGAGGGCACAAACCCUGCAAUGGAAUUUGUAAACACACAAGGAAACCAGAAACAGCAGCUAACAGAAGAAAGCAAGAAAUUGCCGAGAUAUCUUGGAGGAGUAAUCAGCAUCAUUGGUAAAAUCUGUAGCGUACAGUUUCUCCUGUAUGUGCUGUAGAAAUUUGUAAUGAAUGCAAGUGUGGUGCUUUUAAAACUGCAUGUACUGAAGAGCUGAAUUCUGUAAGGUGCUUGAAUUGGCCUAAGUCACAUGAAUUGCUGGCAUUUAUGAGAAUAAGCAAAGA